UCUGGUUGAUCCUGCCAGUAGUCAUAUGCUUGUCUCAAAGAUUAAGCCAUGCAUGUCUAAGUAUAAGCAAUUUAUACAGUGAAACUGCGAAUGGCUCAUUAAAUCAGUUAUCGUUAUUUGAUAGUUCCUUUACUACAUGGUAUAACUGUGGUAAUUCUAGAGCUAAUACAUGCUUAAAAUCUCGACCUUUGGAAGAGAUGUAUUUAUUAGAUAAAAAAUCAAUGUCUUCGGACUCUUUGAUGAUUCAUAAUAACUUUUCGAAUCGCAUGGCCUUGUGCUGGCGAUGGUUCAUUCAAAUUUCUGCCCUAUCAACUUUCGAUGGUAGGAUAGUGGCCUACCAUGGUUUCAACGGGUAACGGGGAAUAAGGGUUCGAUUCCGGAGAGGGAGCCUGAGAAACGGCUACCACAUCCAAGGAAGGCAGCAGGCGCGCAAAUUACCCAAUCCUAAUACAGGGAGGUAGUGACAAUAAAUAACGAUACAGGGCCCAUUCGGGUCUUGUAAUUGGAAUGAGUACAAUGUAAUACCUUAACGAGGAACAAUUGGAGGGCAAGUCUGGUGCCAGCAGCCGCGGUAAUUCCAGCUCCAAUAGCGUAUAUUAAAGUUGUUGCAGUUAAAAAGCUCGUAGUUGAACUUUGGGCCUGGUUGGCCGGUCCGAUUUUUUCGUGUACUGGUUUCCAACCGGGCCUUUCCUUCUGGCUAAACCUUUGGGUCCUUGUGGCCCUUGGAGAACCAGGACUUUACGUUGAAAAAAUGAGAGUGUUUUAAAAGCAGGCGUAUUGCUCAACUAUUAGCAUGGAAUAUAGAAUAGGACGUUUGGUUCUAUUUUGUUGGUUCUUCUAGGACCUCGUACUGAUAAUUGGACGGUCGGGGCAUCAGUAUUCAAUUGUCGAGGUGAAAUUCGUGGAUUUAUUGAAGACUAACUACUGCGAAGCAUUGCCAAGGACGUUUCAUUAUCAAGAACGAAGUUAGGGGCAUCGAUAUGUCAUUUGACCGUCGUAGAUCUGUAGGUCCAUAAACGAUUUCGACUUGCUGAAUCGGGUUGUUUUUUUACUGACCCACUCGGCACCU
rnacentral:rRNA from 1 species